GAUGAACGCUGGCGGCGUGCCUAAUACAUGCAAGUCGAGCGAACAGACGAGGAGCUUGCUCCACUGACGUUAGCGGCGGACGGGUGAGUAACACGUGGAUAACCUAUCUAUAAGACUGGGAUAACUUCGGGAAACCGGAGCUAAUACCGGAUAAUAUAUUGAACCGGAUGGUUCAAUAGUGAAAGACGGUUUUGCUGUCACUUAUAGAUGGAUCCGCGCCGCAUUAGCUAGUUGGUAAGGUAACGGCUUACCAAGGAAACGAUGCGUAGCCGACGUGAGAGGGGGAUCGGCCACACUGGGACUGAGACACGGCCCAGACUCCUACGGGAGGCAGCGGUAGCGAAUCUUCCGCAAUGGGCGAAAGCCUGACGGAGCAACGCCGCGUUGGUGAUGAAGGGCUGCGGAUCGUAAAACUCUGUUAUUAGUGAAGAACAAUUGUGUAAGUAACUAUGCACGUCUUGACGGUACCUAAUCAGAAAGCCACGGCUAACUACGUG
rnacentral:rRNA from 1 species